GAUGAACGCUGGCGGCGUGCCUAAUACAUGCAAGUCGAGCGAACAGACGAGGAGCUUGCUCCUCUGACGUUAGCGGCGGACGGGUGAGUAACACGUGGAUAACCUACCUAUAAGACUGGGAUAACUUCGGGAAACCGGAGCUAAUACCGGAUAAUAUAUUGAACCGCAUGGUUCAAUAGUGAAAGACGGUUUUGCUGUCACUUAUAGAUGGAUCCGCGCCGCAUUAGCUAGUUGGUAAGGUAACGGCUUACCAAGGCGACGAUGCGUAGCCGACCUGAGAGGGUGAUCGGCCACACUGGAACUGAGACACGGUCCAGACUCCUACGGGAGGCAGCAGUAGGGAAUCUUCCGCAAUGGGCGAAAGCUUGACGGAGCAACGCCGCGUGAGUGAUGAAGGUCUUCGGAUCGUAAAACUCUGUUAUUAGGGAAGAACAAAUGUGGAAGUAACUAUGCACGUCUUGACGGUACCUAAUCAGAAAGCCACGGCUAACUACGUG
rnacentral:rRNA from 1 species